rnacentral:lncRNA from 1 species
GAGUGGGUCGGGGGGGAUUCUAUGGGGCUGUGUGGGUCAGGGGGGAUUCUAUGGGGCUGAGCGGGGCUGUGUGGGAUUUCUGUGGGUCUCAGGAGGAUGCAGGUGGGGGAUUCUGUGGAUUUCAGUGGGGUUCCGUGGCUCCAUAUGGGAUUUCCGUGGGUCUGAGUCCAUAUGGGAUUCUCUGGGUCCAUAUCGGAUUCUGUGGGUCCAUAUGGGAUUCCGUGGGUCUCAGUGGGUCCAUAUGGGAUUUCUGUGAGUCUUCAUUGAGUCCAUAUGGGAUUCUGCUGGUCCUUAUGGGAUUCUGUGGGUCUCUGUGAGUCCAUAUGGGAUUCUGUGGGUCCAUAGGGGAUUCCGUGGGUCUCAGUGGGUCCAUAUGGGAUUCUGUGGGUCCAUAUGGGAUUGCGUGGGUCUCAGUGGGAUUCUAUGGGUCCAUAUGGGGUUGCGUGGGUCUCAGUCUGUUUCAGUGGGUCCAUAUGGGGUUCUGUGGGUCCAUAUGGGAUUCUGUGGGUCUCAGUGGGUCUCAGUGAGUCCAUAUGGGAUUUCUGUGGGUCUCAUUGAGUCCAUAUGGGAUUGUGUGGGUCCAUAUGGGAUUCCGUGGGUCUCAGUGGGUCCAUAUGGGAUUGUGUGGGUCCAUAUGGGAUUGUG